GAUGAACGCUGGCGGCGUGCCUAAUACAUGCAAGUCGAGCGAACGGACGAGAAGCUUGCUUCUCUGAUGUUAGCGGCGGACGGGUGAGUAACACGUGGAUAACCUACCUAUAAGACUGGGAUAACUUCGGGAAACCGGAGCUAAUACCGGAUAAUAUUUUGAACCGCAUGGUUCAAAAGUGAAAGACGGUCUUGCUGUCACUUAUAGAUGGAUCCGCGCUGCAUUAGCUAGUUGGUAAGGUAACGGCUUACCAAGGCAACGAUGCAUAGCCGACCUGAGAGGGUGAUCGGCCACACUGGAACUGAGACACGGUCCAGACUCCUACGGGAGGCAGCAGUAGGGAAUCUUCCGCAAUGGGCGAAAGCCUGACGGAGCAACGCCGCGUGAGUGAUGAAGGUCUUCGGAUCGUAAAACUCUGUUAUUAGGGAAGAACAUAUGUGUAAGUAACUGUGCACAUCUUGGCGGUACCUAAUCAGAAAGCCACGGCUAACUACGUGCCAGCAGCCGCGGUAAUACGUAGGUGGCAAGCGUUAUCCGGAAUUAUUGGGCGUNAAGCGCGCGUAGGCGGUUUUUUAAGUCUGAUGUGAAAGCCCACGGCUCAACCGUGGAGGGUCAUUGGAAACUGGAAUACUUGAGUGCAGAAGAGGAAAGUGGAAUUCCAUGUGUAGCGGUGAAAUGCGCAGAGAUAUGGAGGAACACCAGUGGCGAAGGCGACUUUCUGGUCUGUAACUGACGCUGAUGUGCGAAAGCGUGGGGAUCAAACAGGAUUAGAUACCCUGGUAGUCCACGCCGUAAACGAUGAGUGCUAAGUGUUAGGGGGUUUCCGCCCCUUAGUGCUGCAGCUAACGCAUUAAGCACUCCGCCUGGGGAGUACGACCGCAAGGUUGAAACUCAAAGGAAUUGACGGGGACCCGCACAAGCGGUGGAGCAUGUGGUUUAAUUCGAGGCAACGCGAAGAACCUUACCAAAUCUUGACAUCCUUUGACAACUCUAGAGAUAGAGCCUUCCCCUUCGGGGGACAAAGUGACAGGUGGUGCAUGGUUGUCGUCAGCUCGUGUCGUGAGAUGUUGGGUUAAGUCCCGCAACGAGCGCAACCCUUAAGCUUAGUUGCCAUCAUUAAGUUGGGCACUCUAAGUUGACUGCCGGUGACAAACCGGAGGAAGGUGGGGAUGACGUCAAAUCAUCAUGCCCCUUAUGAUUUGGGCUACACACGUGCUACAAUGGACAAUACAAAGGGCAGCGAAACCGCGAGGUCAAGCAAAUCCCAUAAAGUUGUUCUCAGUUCGGAUUGUAGUCUGCAACUCGACUACAUGAAGCUGGAAUCGCUAGUAAUCGUAGAUCAGCAUGCUACGGUGAAUACGUUCCCGGGUCU
rnacentral:rRNA from 1 species